rnacentral:rRNA from 1 species
ACAAAGUAGAAGUACCGGAAGGUAAUUCUAUA